UACGUAGGGGGCAAGCGUUGUCCGGAUUUAUUGGGCGUAAAGAGCGUGUAGGCGGCCAUACAGGUCCGUUGUGAAAACUCGAGGCUCAACCUCGAGACGUCGAUGGAAACCGUAUGGCUAGAGUCCGGAAGAGGAGAGUGGAAUUCCUGGUGUAGCGGUGAAAUGCGCAGAUAUCAGGAAGAACACCCGUGGCGAAGGCGGCUCUCUGGGACGGUACUGACGCUGAGACGCGAAAGCGUGGGGAGCAAACAGG
rnacentral:rRNA from 1 species